AUUAUAUUGUAUAUGUGUGUGGAAAUAAUUUACAUUAUAUACUCCUCGUUCACGGGCUGUCGAGGAGGUUAGUAUUAGCAGGUUGUCGACUAGUUUCAUGGUAUCCUCCUCUGUCCUAGUCGACUUCAGGUUCCUUAGUCCUGUAGUGAGGGUCCGGGCGACAGCGAAAGGGCUAAGGAUGGUUUGAACCUUGGGCAGGGGUCCGGGCGACCACCCAAGGUCAGAUCUAGAGUCUUAGAGCGUGAGGGUCCGGUGGACUGCGCGAUUUAGUUAGAAACUGCGGUAUAGACGCUCCAUAAGAGGGUACCGUCAGGAAUCAGGGACUAUGAUAGAAACUGCAGUAUGGACGCUCCAUAUGAGGGUACUGUCAGG